UCCGAUAUGGUGUAGUGGCUAACAUCGCUCGCUCUCAACCUUCAACAGUUGGUAAUCCGAGCAGCCCGGGGUUCGAUUCCCCGUAUCGGAG
rnacentral:tRNA from 1 species